AAUGGGGAGAUCUCUGGAUCCUUAUGAGGUACAGGGCUGGUUCUAGCUUUGUUAGACACAGAUUGGCAUGUACUAUGCGAUUUUCGUUUUUUACAUUAGUCAUGGGAUAACCCCUUUAAGAGCUCCCCCUGUAUAUCACAACCAAUCAGAUU